UGGAGUACAGAAUGAAAUGGAGAGGAGAGGAGAAGAGAGGAGGAGAGAGGAGAGGAGGAGAAUACCAGGCAGAUGUUGGAGUACAGAAUGAAAUGGAGAGGAGAGGGGAGAGGAGAAGAGAGGAGGAGAGAGGAGAGGAGGAGAAUACCAGACAGAUGUUGGAGUACAGAAUGAAAUGGAGAGGAGAGGAGAAGAGAGGAAAGGUGUUGGAGUACAGAAUGAAAUGGAGAGGAGAGGAGAAGAGAGGAAAGGUGUUGGAGUACAGAAUGAAAUGGAGAGGAGAGGAGAAGAGAGGAAAGGUGUUGGAGUACAGAAUGAAAUGGAGAGGAGAGGAGAGGAAAGGUGUUGGAGUACAGAAUGAAAUGGAGAGGAGAGGAGAAGAGAGGAAAGGUGUUGGAGUACAGAAUGAAAUGGAGAGGAGAAGAGAGGAAAGGUGUUGGAGUACAGAAUGAAAUGGAGAGGAGAGGAGAAGAGAGGAAAGGUGUUGGAGUACAGAAUGAAAUGGAGAGGAGAAGAGAGGAAAGGUGUUGGAGUACAGAAUGAAAUGGAGAGGAGAGGAGAAGAGAGGAAAGGUGUUGGAGUACAGAAUGAAAUGGAGAGGAGAAGAGAGGAAAGGUGUUGGAGUACAGAAUGAAAUGGAGAGGAGAGGAGAAGAGAGGAAAGGUGUUGGAGUACAGAAUGAAAUGGAGAGGAGAAGAGAGGAAAGGUGUUGGAGUACAGAAUGAAAUGGAGAGGAGAGGAGAAGAGAGGAAAGGUGUUGGAGUACAGAAUGAAAUGGAGAGGAGAAGAGAGGAAAGGUGUUGGAGUACAGAAUGAAAUGGAGAGGAGAGGAGAAGAGAGGAAAGGUGUUGGAGUACAGAAUGAAAUGGAGAGGAGAAGAGAGGAAAGGUGUUGGAGUACAGAAUGAAAUGGAGAAGAGAGGAAAGGUGUUGGAGUACAGAAUGAAAUGGAGAGGAGAAGAGAGGAAAGGUGUUGGAGUACAGAAUGAAAUGGAGAGGAGAAGAGAGGAAAGGUGUUGGAGUACAGAAUGAAAUGGAGAGGAGAGGAGAAGAGAGGAAAGGUGUUGGAGUACAGAAUGAAAUGGAGAGGAGAAGAGAGGAAAGGUGUUGGAGUACAGAAUGAAAUGGAGAGGAGAGGAGAAGAGAGGAAAGGUGUUGGAGUACAGAAUGAAAUGGAGAGGAGAAGAGAGGAAAGGUGUUGGAGUACAGAAUGAAAUGGAGAGGAGAGGAGAAGAGAGGAAAGGUGUUGGAGUACAGAAUGAAAUGGAGAGGAGAAGAGAGGAAAGGUGUUGGAGUACAGAAUGAAAUGGAGAAGAGAGGAAAGGUGUUGGAGUACAGAAUGAAAUGGAGAGGAGAAGAGAGGAAAGGUGUUGGAGUACAGAAUGAAAUGGAGAGGAGAAGAGAGGAAAGGUGUUGGAGUACAGAAUGAAAUGGAGAGGAGAGGAGAAGAGAGGAAAGGUGUUGGAGUACAGAAUGAAAUGGAGAGGAGAAGAGAGGAAAGGUGUUGGAGUACAGAAUGAAAUGGAGAGGAGAGGAGAAGAGAGGAAAGGUGUUGGAGUACAGAAUGAAAUGGAGAGGAGAAGAGAGGAAAGGUGUUGGAGUACAGAAUGAAAUGGAGAGGAGAGGAGAAGAGAGGAAAGGUGUUGGAGUACAGAAUGAAAUGGAGAGGAGAAGAGAGGAAAGGUGUUGGAGUACAGAAUGAAAUGGAGAAGAGAGGAAAGGUGUUGGAGUACAGAAUGAAAUGGAGAGGAGAAGAGAGGAAAGGUGUUGGAGUACAGAAUGAAAUGGAGAGGAGAAGAGAGGAAAGGUGUUGGAGUACAGAAUGAAAUGGAGAGGAGAGGAGAAGAGAGGAAAGGUGUUGGAGUACAGAAUGAAAUGGAGAGGAGAGGAGAAGAGAGGAAAGGUGUUGGAGUACAGAAUGAAAUGGAGAGGAGAGGAGAAGAGAGGAAAGGUGUUGGAGUACA